AUUGAACGCUGGCGGCAUGCCUUACACAUGCAAGUCGAACGGUAACGCGGGGCAACCUGGCGACGAGUGGCGAACGGGUGAGUAAAGCAUCGGAACGUGCCCAGUAGUGGGGGAUAGCCCGGCGAAAGCCGGAUUAAUACCGCAUACGACCUAUGGGUGAAAGGGGGGGAUCGCAAGACCUCUCGCUAUUGGAGCGGCCGAUACCUGAUUAGCUAGUUGGGGAGGUAAAGGCUCACCAAGGCAACGAUCAGUAGCUGGUCUGAGAGGACGAUCAGCCACACUGGGGCUGGGACACGGCCCAGACUCCUACGGGAGGCAGCAGUGGGGAAUUUUGGACAAUGGGGGCAACCCUGAUCCAGCAAUGCCGCGUGAGUGAAGAAGGCCUUCGGGUUGUAAAGCUCUUUUGUCAGGGAAGAAACAGCAGCUCUAACACAGUUUGCGAAUGACGGUACCUGAAGAAUAAGCACCGGCUAACUACGUGCCAGCCGCCGCCGUAAGAC
rnacentral:rRNA from 1 species